GACGAACGCUGGCGGCGUGCCUAAUACAUGCAAGUAGAACGCUGAAGGAGGAGCUUGCUUCUCUGGAUGAGUUGCGAACGGGUGAGUAACGCGUAGGUAACCUGCCUGGUAGCGGGGGAUAACUAUUGGAAACGAUAGCUAAUACCGCAUAAGAGUAGAUGUUGCAUGACAUUUACUUAAAAGGUGCAAUUGCAUCACUACCAGAUGGACCUGCGUUGUAUUAGCUAGUUGGUGAGGUAACGGCUCACCAAGGCAACGAUACAUAGCCGACCUGAGAGGGUGAUCGGCCACACUGGGACUGAGACACGGCCCAGACGCCUACGGGAGGCAGCAGUAGGGAAUCUUCGGCAAUGGACGGAAGUCUGACCGAGCAACGCCGCGUGAGUGAAGAAGGUUUUCGGAUCGUAAAGCUCUGUUGUAAGAGAAGAACGAGUGUGAGAGUGGAAAGUUCACACUGUGACGGUAUCUUACCAGAAAGGGACGGCUAACUACGUG
rnacentral:rRNA from 1 species